AACGCACCUUGCGCUCUUGGGUAUUCCUAAGAGCAUGUCUGUUUGAGUGUCGCGAAACCUAUCAAAGCUCCCUUUUCUUGUUAUGAGGAGAGAGACUGGGCUUUGGAUUGUGGCAAUUGUACUUUUUUUUUUUGGAAAGAGUAACAGCCGAAAUUGAAUAUGAAAGGGUUCCUCUUUUCUUCGAGCUUGUGGAAAGCCUGGCUCUGCGUAAUAAUUAUUUCGCGUUGCCUUUUUAGUGCUUUCCGAUUAAAAACAGCAGGAAACAAAGACACCCUACAAAUAAUAUAUAAUAAUUUAUAAUAAUAGACCUCAAAUCAGGCAGGACUACCCGCUGAACUUAA
rnacentral:misc_RNA from 1 species